UAAUUUAAGGCAGCGUCGACUGUCACAUCCAGUCCCAGUGCCCCAAAGCUGCCAGAGUGACAGAAAAGUGUUGAUUAACUUGGGAGGCGGAUACAAGGCAGAAGCUCUGAAAGUCGCCAUGGGCCUUCCCAGAGUGCUUAGCGUCAGGGGAAGUCAGAGAGGUUUCCGUUGAUGCUCUCUUCCCUGCAAACAAUAUUACACAUUCACCAGCCUUUCCUCUGGGUCCUGGAACACCUGCUUCAUGGGCAGUGGAACUUUGGUCGGUGAGAUGAGGCUGACACCUAUCCUGACAGAGGGACCUCAGCAGCCACGGGGCACAGGGCGGGAGCCGCUCUCAAGAAGUGGAAAAGAGGACUGAGAGGCGCUCUACCACCAAGAGGGCCAAGAAGGACGCUUGGGCUUCUCACGGGCUACACUGCAAACCAGAAGUCCCACGGUCUGGAAACUUUAAGACUGUCUCCCACAGUGAGACCCUGUUUUGCAUUUCCUACUCUCUGAAGGACUGAGACAUUUUCCUAUUAUUAUACUUUAUUUAACCCCAUUGGAAAGGAAACCACUUUUCUAGACAAAUCCAGACUCUCCUUUUGGCAGGAGAAGAUGGCAAACAGGUGUAAAGGACUAUUCUCUUUGAGAGGGUACUCAACAACACUGAUGGAGGCCCAUGCAUUGGCACUGUGCUAAGUAUGUUUCCUAUAAGAUCUUAUCACACCAGCACUGCAAGGUGGAACUUUGACUUCUGUCACAGAGACUGAGGGUUGGAGUCUAAGUAACUCAGUUAAAACGAGAACUAAAAGGAGGAUUGUAACAUUGUAGCCCCUUUUCAGUCAGCAGUACACCAGGAACUAUUUUGAGCACUUCACUAUAUUGUUUCAACGUUCUGACAGACCUAUGGAGUAGAAAUCCAUACUCUUCCCAUGCCAUAGACCUGGAAACUGAAUUUCAAAAGCCUUAGAGAAGGGACUAAAAGAGUCAGAAUUGAAAUCUAGUCCUGUUUGCCAAAGAAGCCUGUCCUUCCUCUGCCUCUCUAUAGCCCCGAGUGCAGACAAGGUGAAGGAACACGUCCUUCAGCUCAGCAGCUUCCUGUCCAAGCCAUUGCAGAUUUUCCAACGCAGUGUGGAUAAAUGAAGUCUAGACAAAUCCUCAGAACUGGAGAAUCACAGAUGCAUCUAGGAAGUGAACUCACAGUGUUGCAUUCUGGGAGUUGCCUACUCUUGUUAGCUAAGUGGAAGGAUAAAGAGAGAAGCACCAGGAAAUUGCUGCUGAAAUCAGCUGUUCACAGGAAGCAGAGUUGUAGGUAUCACAGAGGCAGACCAGACCACCAGCCUCAAAUCAUGGAAGGGCUUCCCCCCAAUUCUCCCUUUCAGUCUCCAUGGUGACCUCAUCAUCUCUGGAUGCCAACCAAGUUCUGCUCCUCAGACAGCUCUUCCUAUUGUUGAUAGCUCUUCACUUUUACGUAAGUCCCACUCCCCCACACCCUGCAUCUUUCUGGAAAAUUCCGGCCCUUCUUCACUUCUCUGGCAGUCAUAUGUAUGACAUGAUUUGCUCAAUGCUUGUCUAUAAUUGGUUUCCUGGUGCUGGUGUGGUCUAUUGCUUGGUCUGCAUCCCCAGAGAGUCUGUCUUCUUUGUCAAGGAGACUGUCCCCAUAUCUCAGGGGACUUGGGACAUAAAAGGAAGGCAAAGUGAAUUAAAUAACUUCUUGGACACCUUGCACUUUUAACCACAAAUAUUGAUUGCAUUUCCUCUAAUGCAGAAUAUUCAGUACUAGGAAUAUUACAGACAGCAAGAUCAUCAAGGCAUCACUGCUAGGGUACCAGACUAGCAUUUUCCCUUAGCUCCAGAAAUCCCCAUCAAAAGACAAUCAAGUCUAUACCCCUAUGCAGAUAAGAUUUAUUUUCUAUAACAAGAUGCUUAUAGGUUCUUCUCCUUUAUUUAGGGUUUUAAAAGUAGACAGU